GACGAACGCUGGCGGCGUGCUUAACACAUGCAAGUCGAACGGUAAGGCCCUUCGGGGUACACGAGUGGCGAACGGGUGAGUAACACGUGGGUGAUCUGCCCUGCACUUCGGGAUAAGCCUGGGAAACUGGGUCUAAUACCGGAUAGGACCACUGCCUGCAUGGGUGGUGGUGGAAAGCUUUUGCGGUGUGGGGUGGGCCCGCGGCCUAUCAGCUUGUUGGUGGGGUGAUGGCCUACCAGGGGGACGCCGGGUAGCCGGCCUGAGAGGGUGACCGGCCACACUGGGACUGAGAUCCGGCCCAGACUCCUACGGGAGGAAGCAGUGGGGAAUAUUGCACAAUGGGCGCAAGCCUGAUGCAGCGACGCCGCGUGAGGGAUGACGGCCUUCGGGUUGUAAACCUCUUUCAGCACCGACGAAGCGCAAGUGACGGUAGGUGCAGAAGAAGGACCGGCCAACUACGUGCCAGCCGCCGCGGUAA
rnacentral:rRNA from 1 species